GGGUCCAAGGAGCUCUUGAGCACCCCAUGACUCAUAGCUGAAGCAUUCCAGCUGCUCGUCUUCUCUCACUCACAGCUGACUCUUUAGGCCAUUUCAAGUCAGCCUUGACUAAGAAGGGCCUGAUGGACUUCUCUUCUGAAGCUGUCACCAGCUCUCAAGCCCUGCUCUGGACUCAAACCUGGGGUGCAAUGGCUCAGCGUGUCAUUUUGUCUGCAUUAGCUCAGUGAUGUCACUUCUGUGACCAAAGGCGUCUGCUGCCACAGGGAAGAGAGCUGCACCAAGACUCGGCAUUCCAGGCACAGAUUCAAGAAAAAGGAAGUCAAGGAUGUUAACAGAAGGAGAAGCUGGAGGAAGUGUGCAUGGGAAUUUUCUGUACUACUUUUGCAGCUUUUCUGGGCAGUCCAUGGGAUGUGGGUACUUCUGGGCUUAUGGUAGGCUCCUGGGCACUGUGUCCUACCAUUGUCAACCUGCCAUCACAGAAAGAAGGGAUGGGAGCCCAAUGUGACAGUGCAGAGCUCAGGCUUUAGUGUCAGUCAGCCUCGUUCAAGUCACAUCUCCUAAAGAUUGGCUAAGUGGGAAUGAGACAUUGGAUUUGCAAGAAUCACAGAGAAGGACAGACAGAACACAGAAGGCCAUUCUCAGCCCUGCGCCACACACCUAUAAGGAGUUCUCCAGGCAGUUGGACUGUCAUUAAAAAAAGUGCCAAGUUCCAGUGGAAUUCAAAGAGGUGGAAGGAGGUGAUUGAAAUGAAGAUGAUGUCAUCUAUUUUUUCUCCACAAUUUAGCUUUGAGCUGGCCCUGUCACUGAUACCUCAUUCUUCUGCAGCAGCCAUAGUUUAUCUGACUAUUUCUGUUCCUUUAACUCCCUAUGAGGUAUUAACAAUCCAAAUACUUCAAUAAGAGUUUUUUCCUCUCUCCUCUACUGUCUGAGAUCGAAAUAGGGAAUUUUAGAUAAAAGGUAUCACCAGUCUCUUCACCAGGAAAAAUCAAGGAUCCUGGGGAUAGGGGUGGACAUUUGUUCCGGCACCUCCAGAACGCUGAGCCCCAUAACCUGGCUCGUCAGUGGGAGAGACAAAGGGAGUGUCAGGAAUCAAAAGUACAAUGACUGCCCCAAUUAUGAAAGGCUGAAGUCAAUUCAAAAGGCUUAGUCUUUUAAGAUCUCUAGAAAGCCAUUCAUCUGGGCCUGUCUAUGCUCUCUGGGAUCCCUCUGCCUGGAGGUUUCUGAGAGGUAAAGGGCGGAGGAGCUGCCCACAAAACUCUGCCAAGAACACCAUUGAAGGAGGUACUGGGGCUGGUGGCUUAUGCAUUUCCUUUUUAAAUACACACACACACACACACACACACACACACACACACACACACACACAUUUUAUAUUUUUCCCCCUGCUAGUUAAAACCACAAGUAUUUGAAAUAAUCCCAGAGGAAUGAAAUCUCAGAUCUGUGGAAUGUCAGUCAUGGAAAUUAAAUGGACACCACGUGACCUAGCACAUGCCACUGUGGAAAAUAAACAUGUGGUCCUGAGCAGACCUGCUGUUGACUCUAACAUCUUGAGAUGACAGGCAGUUGCUUUCUGAAACCACAGCCAGAGGUAGAGUUCUCCAAAGAUUUCAGUCAAGGGUCUUUUAAAGCAAAUUGUGUAUUUACCCAUGAUUCUCCAGCAAAUUAAGGAUCUGCUCUUGGAUGCUGGACAGUGGAGCUCCGGACAAAGCUGCUACACACACACAAACGUGCUCUCUCUUUCUGGCCGCAAAAGACCAUGUUGUAAAGAACCGUCUUGCUCAAUCCUGCUUGCAGCUGUGCAAAAUCAAGAUCUCUCUAUUUAAAAGGAGCAAUGAGGAUGGCUUAACUCUGGUGUGACGCUAGAGGUGAUGAGAGCCAGCAGUGGGAAGAGAAAACAUGGGGGUAUGAGAACGGCCCCCGGGAAAGGGAGAAAGCUUGGCUAGAUAUAAAGGCAGAGCCAGAAAAGAUGCAGAGAGGAGGAGGAAGGGUAGCACGGUGUGUUUGAGAGGAAUGGGAGGACGGAAAGUGGAGAGAGGGAAUGGGAAAAGAAGAGAGAGAAAGCAAGAAGUAGGAAAUGGACGUGAGUAUGGUGAGAGAACUGGCAAGAUGGCCAUGUGGAGGUUCAGGGGAUGGGUUGGGGAGUGAGCGUGCUGGUACUCUUUUCUCUUCACACAGCAUUACUAAUACAGAAGGCCAGGCCAGCCAGGGACUGUGCAGCUGGAAUCAAUCGGAGUAAAUGUGGGCGGCUGCCCAGGACUGCCCCAGGGAAGGGGUGGGAAGUCCUUCCCUCUGGUUUGGCAAAGCCUGGCUUGAGCCUGCCAGUAUCACUGGCCUCCUUGGGGCAGCGGUGGGGGGCAGAAAGAAUGUGGCCCACUCCAAGCUGCUGCACACAGAAACCCAGGCCCCAGAGGAUGGCUUAGGGUCCCCCCACCCGACUCCUCCGUGACUUCUUAUUUCCACCAAGAUUGCUGAAAUAAAGAAGAUUCAAAUAGAGGAUUUCUCUCCUCAAACAUAGAGAUGAGGGAGUGUGGAUUCUUCCCAGAGAAAAAGCAAAAUCCAGUCAACUGCCUGCAGGCCUUCAAAGCAUGAAAAUUGAGGUCAUUUCACAGUCUAUGGAAGCAAAAUCUUCACUAAAUUGUGCUUUGGAUGGUUUGUAUUUGCACUUCUCUCUGCCUCCCCUGAGGACCCCUUUCCAAAUUUUCAGCAUCUCAGUCAUAUGAAUGGAAAUAUGUGUGUGGCCUCCAAUACAUUAGCUCACUUGCUCUGGGCCGAAGAUGCCUAGUGACUGACAUGUACCCAGCGCUUGUCUUCAGGCUGCUUUCAAGCUCCUCUAGGUUCCUGGGUCUCUCCCCAGGGUGCCAGGACUUGGAGUCAAAACCAAAGACAGGACAUGACAAUUUACCCAGUUAAUAGAAAUGGAGCUCUAUUGGUUCUUUGAGAGGCACACAGCCAGCUGGCAAGAGCAUUCAGACUGUGAAUGAGACAAGCUGGUUGACAGCCCCAGGAUGGGCACUGCCUGGCUGUGUGAUGCUUGGCACAGGGAUCGUCCCAGGACCUGGGAAUUCCUAUCUGUAAAGUAAAGCUAUGGUCCUGGAUGACCCCAGGGCCCCUUCUAGCAUGUGGUUCUUUAGUUCUGCUAUGAAACCUCCUCAUGCCCCCUUCAUGUCCACUUCCACCAAUCUCUAAUAAAAGCCUUGGAUUCAAAUAAGACAUAAUUUGCCCAGAUUUCUUUCUAGACAUAGAAUACAAUCUCCUCACCCACUCAGGAACAUAAGAACUCUACAGUAAAAACAAAACAAACUAUUAUUUACCAUAAAAUUUAAUUUAGAAAAUAGGAAUUAAACAUUUCUUAAAUCACUUUAAUGAGUUUACAAAACUAAAGUCAAUCUAUUUGUUCUCUGAAGACUUGGAGCCAGAAGUUCAGUUCCAUCUUUCAAACGGCUUGGGUUGGGGGUGAAGGAGAGAGAAGUAUAUUCGUAUCUAAAAAUGAUUAAAUGAAAAUUUAAUCCUUGAUUAUCCUCCUAACAGCUGGUGAUGGAAAAUCAUGCGUACUCAACCAAAUUUUAAAGUGCCUGGGCUCUGUGCUUUCAAAUUAAGAAUUUUUUUUUUUUGCAGUCAUUUGACUUUUAAAGUUGUAAUGAAUGUCUGUUUUCAAAGCAUCCAGCAUAAUGCAGGGAGCAACUAUUUUAAGAAGUAUUGUGUAGAAGUAAUCUGCUCAUAUCCCCAAAUCCCUGGAUCUCUCCACGCUCUCUUGGAGCUGCUUCUUGGUCUGCAUUCUGUCCUUCCUCCAUUGCAUUUUCUAGCUCCCCAUUUGCUCUUUCCUGCCUCCCAGUACUGGAUGGUCAAGAUGCUCCACUUCUCAGACUGUGUUGGAGCAAGAGUUCUCAACGUGUUGCCCUCCAGCCAGCAGCAAUACCACCACCUGGGAAAUCAUUAGCAAUGUGAAAUACUGGGCCCUACCCUGACCUGUAGAAUCAGAAACUUUGGAUAUACUUUGGCCAAACAAUCUGGUUUUAACAUGUCCUCUGGGUGAUUCUGAUGCAGAAGGGAUUAAGAAUUGGAGCAGGAAAAGACAGUAGAGCGGAAGGAUGUGGCCUUUAUUAUUUCAUCAGUCAUUGCUUUGUUUCCCGAGCACCCCAACACCCAUCUUUUAUGAACGGCUGUCCUUAUGUUAGCUUAUCUGUAGAAAUGUUCAAAUCUUACGUUGAAAAACAUGAUGGGAGGAAACAGGCAUCUUUUGUGAUUUUUGCUCUAUUGCAGCCCAAUCAUGCUUUUUAAUUCCUACGACCUCUCUCCAUUGAGCUUUCUCAUUUGAAAAAAAAGAGAAAAGUCAAUAUUGCUACGAGUAUGUUGGCACCAAGGUAAAAUUCAAAGUUAAGCAUGUAACUUUGAUUUUAAUGUUUCUCAAAUUGAGAUUGUAGAGAGUCUGAACUUUCUCAAGUUUGAACAUCACUGGUCUAGAACAGUGAGGGUUUCAAACAUGAGCUGGCAGAUGGCUCCUGAUCCACACUGAAGUUCUUGUCAGAAUAAGGCAAGAUGUUUAAGUGAAGAGAGUUGUUGUCUUGUUUGCAUUUGUUUGCCUGCUUGUUGGGACAAACUAUUCCAUUUAAAUAUCUGGUUAUGGUCUGGAUUAUAUCCUUCUAAAUUUUUGUUGUUAAUAUGUUAUUUACAUUCAUUGAUGUCUAUCUAUAUUUGACAAAGCAAAAAUUGGGAGCCCUGAGGGCCGCACCUCUUAAAAAUUGGUGGCAAAAUGCAAAAAGCCCAGGAAACACAGAUACAGAUAAUUUCCAAGGUCUCUGUGUGCUUUCAAAAUUCUAUCAUCUUAUCCUCAUCUUUCUACUUUCCCAAAAGCAGGUGAAAAUAGAUUUCAAAUCCUCUCAUGAUAGAAUUGAUUCCAGGGCUUUUUCAUGAAGAAAAUAAGUCUAUGGCCCUGAUACAGAUGUUCAGAGGGCAGGUCUGUCUAGGCCAGAGCUUAACAUGAAAGUCAGCACACCCUUGGUAGGAUUCUCAUUGCUGGUCACAAUGGAGACCAAGGGCUUUCUAUUGCAGGAAUAGCUUUCUAUCAGUAACAGAGCCUCUGAGGCAAUCUGUUGCAUUAAAGCAAAGAAUCCAGGUAUGUGUUUCCUCCAUCACAAUUUUAAUAUUUUCCAAGCUAAUGCUUCUCAGAUUCUCCAGAUUCCACAACAGGAGAGAUUCUGUCAUCACCAUUAACUAGAGGCUGCUAUAUUUGCAUACAUGUUCUAUUCACUACAUGUUACGGGCUGAUUCUGUGCUCCCAAAAUUCAUAUGCUGAAACCUUACCCCAAUACUUGACAAUGUGGCUGCAUUUGGAAAUAGAGUCUUUAAGAUGUAAUUAAGCUAAAACAAGGUCAUUAGCAUAGGCCUUAAUCCAAUAUGACUGGUGUCAUUAUAAAAGAAGGAAUUAGGACACAGAUAUAUACAUUACAGAGGGAAAGCCAUGUGAAGACACAGGAAGAUGGUCUUCUACAAGCCAAGGAGACCAGCCUCAGAAGAAACAACCAUGCAGACAACUAGGUCUUGGACUUUUAGUCUCCAGGAUUGGUACUUUAAAUAUGUGUUGUCUAAGCCAUUCAGUAUGUUUGUUGUGGUGGCAAUCCUAGGAAACUGAUACACUACCCAGUUGGUGAAUCAGGAUGCACAUGCAGGAGAAGAGUCCUUUUCUGACCAAAAGAGAGGAGUUUGGGUCUCUUGAGUAUAGUGGAAAGUCUCUCU